CAGGAUGCUGAGGCCAAGCUAGUAACACACACAGGGGCAGAGGAGAUCGACCCCCAGCAGUUGCAGUUGAGGGUUUUAAAGAAUAAACCACAAAGUGAGGGGAGGAUAAGAUCAAAAAGAAUGGGGAAGCCAAGUAAACAUAAGAAUGGGGAUGGGGAAUUAGAGCUCAUCGCUCAUGGAAAGGUUACAGGCUAUCUUUUUGCAAACACUCUUGGUCCCUUACGCUAUGGGUCAGGUGCCUGGGUGGGUUACCCAGUGCUCAUCUUUCUCUCAGGCUGAAGGCAAAAGAACAAAGAACUCCAUGAUGGGCUUCCUUUCUAGGGGUCUAAGAAACACAUUGAGUUGGGGUCUUACACCUAUCCCUGGAUGGUUAGAUAUAGUUGUUUUUACAAGUAUGCUAUCAAGUAUGCU
rnacentral:lncRNA from 1 species